rnacentral:lncRNA from 1 species
UUUGCAAUAUAUUAUCAAUAUGACAAAAGAAUCACUACAAAUUCUAUUAAAUCCUUUUUAAAUAGGGGUUUUCAUCAGGUUUAGAAAUCAGACUGUAAACAACAAUUUUUAGUGCAUGUUCAAGGUGUGUUACAGGCCCACAUCUAUAUCAGAAUCUCAAAUUACACAUUUUCAAAGUAUACUGUGUGACACAUAUAUUGUACUACAUAGUUCUUGUUUAUUUCUUGUCACAUAUUUGUUAUAUCUAACAAUAGCAUAUUCUAGAUCAACUCCCCGCAUAGACCCGCUUCGUGGGAGGAGGAUGCAGAGGCCGGCAACAAGGAGCGGGUGUGGGUGCUCAUCCUCGCCGCUGACCACUAGUGCUGCGACAAACUUUGGGCAGAAUUCGAUGCCUCCACGGGUAUGAGCAAAUCAAAUACUGCUUACUUCUUUCUGUCUGUUGUCUGCUGAAGUAGCUAAUAGACCGCUUUAGAAUGUUGUGAGCUUGGUUAUUUUACAUUGUUUGCUAAUAUCAAGCAAAGAAUGAAUGCUGGAGUGUGUUACUGUGCUUCAUUACAAUACCUACAAAACUUUAGAAAGGGUGUUUCUGUCCACCCACAUAAAGCAAAAGAUAAAUCUAUGAUUGCGCGGCAGGCCUAAUAAUCCACACCAAACCAAUCAAAAAAGAGAUCAAUCUGUGACUUGUUGAGUAAUUAACAAACCCGGUGUUGUUGUCCACUACCAGCCGGCUGGAGGCCCCAACUCGUUUGGCUCCGUCUACGCGGUGCCAGGAGAUUAGCAGAUGGAUGCAUCCGCCGGCAGUACCAACUGCACAUCAAAGAACAACGGAUUAGUAUGUUGACAGGGAUAGAAAAAUAUGAAACUCGGACACACAGAAUUUGCAGUUAUCAACAAACACUAAUUUGAAUACCUUCUAAAUCUCACAUAGUGCAGGGCUGCUCUGAAUAUCAUUGUGUUCCAUAAAUAAUGUUCCUUUCUUAGUCCACUACCGGGUGCACAAUCCAUCGACCACCAUGAUCCUCUGUCACAUUAAAGCUGUCUACAUCAUCAGAUUAGAGUCUUUGCUCUUGUUGAUAAAUUGUGUAACACUCUGAAACACAACGAUAUUUUUUUACUCGUUAGAUUCAGAUUAGAGUCUGUUUUUUUACUCUGAAACACAAAAAGAACAUUGUCCCAUUGUCUAUGGAGUAAAGAAAGAAUAGAUUAUCUUCAUGCCCCCGUAUUUAUGAAAAAUAUUUAUUCAACAAAAACAUGUCUACCUGCCCACUUCAUUGCAAACCAACUCACGUGUGUAGCAACAUUAUUUAUUAAUUAAUGUAAAAUAUGUCUGCCACUCAACAAAGUUUAGAACCAAAUGGACAACUAUAAAGAAGCAUAAAUAUUUUGUAAUCAUUUUUGGCUUCCCUUACAUGUUGUAGGCAGCAUACGAUACUUAUCUGAAAUACCUAAAGACACAAGAAAAGCUAGUGAAGAAUGAAGAAACUUUAAUCUAACCUCGCUCAAUCUGGUGUAUUUCCUUGAGCACCCAUGCGAGUGUCUUAGCUCUUCUUUGUACGCAUGGGGCACGAGCAUGUUCUCCAAGGAGGACAGUAGCUCUCACCCACGACCUCCUCGAUGUAGUUGGCGAAGUAGUAGAGGGUGACAACGUGGAAUUGCUUGGUCGCUUUUGUGGGUGACCUCAAGGCGCUGCUGGUGGGAGGUCACAGACCAACGCGUGCUGUCGGUGAAGGUGGAUCUAGAGAACAAGAAUUCAACCUAAAACCAGACGAAGGUGGGAGGUGGGACGAAAAAACCCGGAACGGAGACAACCAAAUGCUUCAUUACCGAAAAAGGCUCGUGCCCCGCUUUAUACAUAAAGCAACGAUCACCAUACAAACCAACACAUACAACUCACCCAACAACACACACACAAGGCAAGAUACAAGGGUGUAUAUGAAUUGCUAGAUCACCCCCAUCCACUCCAAGCAACUACAUGUAGGCAGGGAUAGCACCACUGGUAGUCUUCGAAGAC